UACGGAGAGUGCAAACGUUGUUCGGAUUCACUGGGCGUAAAGGGCGCGUAGGCGGGUGGACAAGUCAGGGGUGAAAGCCCACGGCUCAACCGUGGAAGUGCCUUUGAUACUGUCCGUCUGGAGGGAGGUAGGGCGUGCGGAACUUCCGGUGGAGCGGUGAAAUGCGUAGAUAUCGGAAGGAACACCGGUGGCGAAAGCGGCUCACUGGUCCAUUACGUGACGCUG
rnacentral:rRNA from 1 species